UCUUUAAUAAUACUUCUUCAACUUUCACAUUAAAUUAACUUCUCAAUUCAAUAACAACUUGACUGGAUACUUCAUAAAUAAAACUUAAAUGAUACAUAAAACUUCACUUAGUAUAACUUCAACUUAUAAAACUUUAACUAAUGAACCCGUUAAUAUCACAAAACUUAUUACUAAUCGAGGAAUGAGCGAGGACCAUCGCUCUACAAGAACUACUACUAUGCGAGGACCACGUCUGACUGACUUUCCCUUAAUUUAUACUUUCUUUGAUCGUACGUUCCAGAAUCCUGGAACCUUCUCCGAUAAUUAUUUUAGUAACUUUGACCUUCUAGAAGCUGUGUGCUAUUUUUUUCCCUUAACCUCUUUCUUCAAUAGGAUAUUUAAAAUUAACUUGUUUACGCUGGACACUUGCACUGGUUUGAACUUGAACUUCUAGA